AUCUUGUUCUAUUCUUUUCUCACCCAAUCUCAUUGUUUGUCUUAAGUUCUUUGAGAAUUCUGUUUCAAUUUCCUUCCUUGAGAUUGAUUCAGACCUGUUACUUUACAUAGUACUACUACCCUGAAUUGUUCCUUUUCGUUUUCUACUAUCAAUUUCUGGCGUCACAUCUUCCUCUCCCUCAUUUUCACUAAUUCCUAUAAGUUCAACAUUCUCAAAAUUAGACAGUCUUUCCGUAUUCGUAGCUAAUUUCAGCUCUCUUCUUUUAAUAAUGAAUUCUUGAAUUUGAAUCCUCACAUCUUUUGGAUUUUGGGAAUCGAAUCAUAUUUUUAUAACCUCUAGCAAGUGUUGAUUCUAUUGACUCCCCCUUUAUAAAAUUUCAAACAAUAGUUGCAUUGAAGAUCAUUAGUAUUAUUUUUUCACUAAUUUGUUUUAUAUGUUCCCAUAUUGGGUCCAUUCAUAUACUGCCAAUAGAAUAUACAAUUAUAUUACUCUUAUUACCCAUCUAACAAAAAAAACUAAAAAGAAACAAAGUAAUACCCAUCUAAAAGAAAGAAAAAAAAAUGCACGUGCUGUUGCCUGCUGGAGUGCAGCUGGAGUGAGAGAAGAGAAGAAGAGGAAAGGAGAGAAGGAGGAGAGAAGAUAAUAAAAGAAUUAAAAAGAAAUGGAAAUAAAGAAAAAAUACGUGCUGUGCAGGUGCUGCUGGAGUGCUGCUGGCGUGAGAGAAGAGAAGAAGAGGAGAGGAGAAGAGAGAGAGAGGAGAGACAUACCUUGUUAGUUUGUAGUCUGAUGGAGGAGUGCUGCUGCUGGUGGCGUGAACUGAUGGAGAGAUUAGGGUUCUUUUAAAAAUCCCAUCUGUUUGCUGAAUUAAAAAAAAAAAAAAAUUAACGUUAAUAAGCUGAGGCAGUGCCUCAACUUCUUUUGUCCUGGGCUCUCGCCUCUCUCCACCUGGACACAGCCUUGCCUCUUGCCUGGCCCAGCACCUUUUCUCGCCUUUGAUAACACUAAUUUCAUUACCGUACUUUUAUAUCUACAACUCUAGCAAGGUGUCUGAGUCCUGUUCUAAGAUCCAUAGAGCUGUACCUAACACGCUAUAGCUGGCCUGCAUCAAUAUCAGCCUUGGUAAUAUGCUGAUGCUAUAUAUGGAUUCAUGAGUAUAGAUUUAUGAGAUCAUUGGUUCAUAACUUCAUGUAAGUAUUUAGAUAAACUUCAUUUGCUUUUGCUGUAUCUGCAACUUCAUUUGCGGAUGUUCCUUUGUUCCAGAUGCUUUUUAUUCAUAUACGACACUUACAUCUUUUGUUGUAGACAUGAGUAGCGAAUCCAUUGUCAUAUAGAAGAUAAUUUCCUUAGAGUUAGCUAUAUGCAUUUCAAUAUGGAACUGCAAAAGCUUGUGUGUUGUUUGUAAUAGAAGUUGAAGUGACCCCUGUAUUAAUGAUUUAUGAUUCAUUUAGUUCUCUUUUUUUAUUUUAAGUAUGAAUAAUACGUUUGCUUAGAUAAUGCCUGACAAAAGGAAGAUGUCAUAUGUCAUCCAAAAUCUAUCUUAUUUGGGAUUUGAAGUAUAUAACCCAUCGAAAAUAUUUUUUGAUAUUGCUUUUGCAUUCGCUCUCAUGGUUCAGUUCGGUAGGUUUGAAUUAAAAAUUUCUAGUAAAGUCUGCCUUGGAGUAACGCAAACCGAACAAAAUUAAGUAAUAAUGUAAUUCAACUUAACCCAACCUAGUCAAUUUUUAUUUGGGUAGUCGGUUUGGAGAAUUUGGAUUAUUUUAAAGAUUUAAGAUUGUUAAACUCUAUAUGUAAUUUAAGCCUUAUUUUCAAAAGUUAAUGUUCUAAUUUUAAAAUCCCUUAUAUUCAUUUUUAGAACUUGACUGUACUUCUUUUGAAAAUGAUAACAUAGGUGGUGAAAAUGUAGAAUGUAGUUUUAUGAGAAAAAGCACAGUGCAGCAUAUAUAAAAUAUACAAUUUUGUCAUUAGUAUUGGGUUAGUUUAAUAGUGUAAUAAAUCAAUGACCAGACCCAAUUUGUCAGUUUGCAAUUUGAAUAUCUUUUGCAACUGAAACGCAUCGCACUAUUUCUGAAACCAAUAUAUUUCGAUUGGAUUGGGUAGGAUCUAGUUGGUUUUAAUGAUUUGGUUGGUUUUGGUUCGCCCCUAAUUUGCAUCAUGCGUGCAGGUACAUUUUAGCAUUUGC
rnacentral:misc_RNA from 1 species